UACGUAGGGGGCAAGCGUUGUCCGGAAUCAUUGGGCGUAAAGCGCGUGUAGGCGGUUCGGUAAGUCCGCUCUGAAAGCCCGAGGCUCAACCCCGGGAGGCGGGUGGAUACUGUCGGACUAGAGUGCGGAAGAGGCGAGUGGAAUUCCCGGUGUAGCGGUGAAAUGCGCAGAUAUCGGGAGGAACACCAAUUGCGAAGGCAGCUCGCUGGGACGUUACUGACGCUGAGACGCGAAAGCGUGGGGAGCAAACAGG
rnacentral:rRNA from 1 species